rnacentral:ncRNA from 1 species
CAAAGGCUUGGUCCUGACUUUACUAUUAGCUCUAACCUGAUUUAUACAUGCAAGUAUCCGCACCCCCGUGAGAAUGCCCUCAAUCCCCUGCCCGGGGACAAGGAGCAGGCAUCAGGCACACAAAUUAGCCCAUGACGCCUUGCUACGCCACACCCCCAAGGGACUUCAGCAGUAAUAAACAUUAAGCCAUAAGUGAAAACUUGACUUAGUUACGGUUAUGAGGGUCGGUAAAAUUCGUGCCAGCCACCGCGGUUAUACGAAAGACCCCAGUUAAUAGCCACGGCGUAAAGGGUGGUUAAGGAAUAUAUUAAAUAAAGCUAAAGAUCUUCUAAGCCGUCAUACGCACUCCGAAGACACGAGACCCAAACACGAAAGUAGCUUUAGAUCUCCCGACUCCACAAAAGCUAAGAAACAAACUGGGAUUAGAUACCCCACUAUGCUUAGCCAUAAACCUAGAUGUAAUUUUACAUUCACAUCCGCCCGGGAACUACGAGCACAGCUUAAAACCCAAAGGACUUGGCGGUGCCUCAGACCCACCUAGAGGAGCCUGUUCUAGAACCGAUAACCCCCGUUAAACCUCACCACUCCUUGUUUUCUCCGCCUAUAUACCGCCGUCGUCAGCUCACCCUGUGAAGGCCCAAUAGUAAGCAAAAUGGAUGCACCCAAAAACGUCAGGUCGAGGUGUAGCGUAUGGAGUGGGAAGAAAUGGGCUACAUUUUCUAAAUAACAGAAUAUUACGAACAGCACCCUGAAAAUGGUGCUCAAAGGUGGAUUUAGUAGUAAAAAGCAAACAGAGUGUCCUUUUGAAUUAGGCUCUGAGGCGCGCACACACCGCCCGUCACUCUCCCCCACCCACUAAACCUAAAACUUAUAUAUAAUACACCAACUACCAAUACGGGGAGGCAAGUCGUAACAUGGUAAGUGUACCGGAAGGUGCACUUGGAAUAAU